AAUCAGACAACCAAACUGCUGACAUGAAAAAACACUUGCAGAGUCAGCAAAAAUAAAAUGAUUGCUAUACAAGAAGCCAACAUGCUGUAUAAAAAUUACACAUUAUUGAUAUUUAAAAUGAAGCAAUGAAAGAUUAAAUAUAUGAAGAAUAGGAAUGAACUAUGGAUAUUCUCAAAAAUAGUAAUGGUUCAUAAACUGUCCUUAAUGAACCAAUUCAGACUAACAUUUCGAAUUUGAAUGCACUCAGCAUUUUGAACACUAGGUGGUGCAAAAACAAUAAUCCAUAAACUAGUAAAUACAUUAUGUACAUCAUGCAGAGUUCAGGAACUACAUCUCAGUGUUCAGGAUUCAGGGUAGGAACAGCUGGUUACUGUCGUGUUCAGCAAAAACCAAUAUUAAAGAGGAUGGCAGAACCAGCCUCAUGACAUGUUGAGAUUACAAAGUAUGACUUGCUAUAUAUAGAAACGUCUUUUCGACUGACAGGAGCCUCCAGGCAAUUAAUAAUGACCUCUGAGGAGCAGGACAGUGACGAUGGAGAAUAUCGUAGCAUUGAAGAUGCCCAGUACAGAGUUAUCUACACUCAUACAAAGAACUCCAAGGAGGCAAGUUUUGGCAUGGGUUGGAAUUCUGUGAAAAGGAAAACAUUAUUAAGAAGAGAUGUUCAGCAGGUCGUUCAGCGUACAACCCUGGGAGACUCAAGCGGGUUGUGUCAUGUAAAAGGAAGACCCACCAUCUCAAUGUUAGCCGGAGGAAGCAGCCAUCUACAGGGAGAACUCACGAUGUGGCCAGCAAAAAGAAUGAAAUUGCCUGUGUGCAGGACGAGAUGGAAGAAAUAUUUUACAUGGACCCAUGGGAAUUUCCACCCACAGUCCCUGAUACUAGUGAGACAGAGGAGCGUGUUUCAAAAGACAGUGACUACUUUAUAGAGGUUUGAAAUACCAGUAGUCUAUAGGCCUUAAGUGUUGGUUGUCUUAUCAUCAUGAUAUGCUUUUUGUUACAUAGGGUAUUGGAGUAUAUUCCAAUUCUGCGUUCUUUUAGUUGUCAAAAGACCACAGCAGAAUGAUGGAGGUGUUGUUUGGAAGAAACCUGAGACUGACUGUUGCCUUGACCCUGUGGCAAAGAAAUGUUGGAGAACUGCUGACAUAUUUUUUAAGAAUCCAAGACUCUGGUGUGUUUGUUGAUUUUCUUCCAAUGAUAAUAAAAAGCCUUGAUGCUGAGUCACCGAGAGUUUCCAUUGGCUGUUGUGUUGACCUUUUCCCCCUUGUGAAAAAGGUCCUCACUAAUCCAUAUGAAGAUUACUUGGUAGUUGGUUUACAAUGGAUCCACUCAGUGUUGAAACAUUGGUGGCCAGCGCUCUCAGCAAGUAAACGAAGUGACACUCAGUGUACGGAUGGAAAUGUUCAAGUGUUCAAACAGCAGCUAAAAGAGUUUUGGGACCAGGAGCCCUAUUUGAUUUCCGUUCCUGGAAGUGCAGGGGAGAUCGCAAAGGUUAUAGACUCUUGCCUUUUAAAACUGCCCUGAUGGAAGUAGUGGCCCAUAUUAAGCUCCUGACAAUGUACAUGUUGAAACAACUUAUAAUACACAAUGUACUGUACUGGUGACAGUGAAGUGUUUUACUGGAGGUUUGAUGUUAGGAAAAACGUUACCUGGAUAGUUUGGUCGCUAAAGGGUGCCCUUCCAACUAAUAGACACAGAACAAUUGUUGUGCCUUUUUCUUUUUAAAGUAUUUCCAUGUAACUGAAUGUAGAAUUUGUGAUGACUAAAUGCUAUCAUGACUUCACUUCACGAUGGCAAGAAAUUGAUCCAUCAGAUAAAAGUACAUCGAACUGACUUGUUACAAAACCAUUUGAAGAUGUGGUUUAGGAAUUAAAUUGAUUUUGAACUUUUAUUUUAUUGUAAAUGUAAAUAAUUUCCAAAAUAAAAAUGUUAGUUCUACAAU